UACGUAGGGUGCAAGCGCUAAUCGGAAUUACUGGGCGUAAAGCGUGCGCAGGCGGUUAUGUAAGACAGGUGUGAAAUCCCCGGGCUUAACCUGGGAACUGCAUUUGUGACUGCAUAGCUAGAGUACGGUAGAGGGGGAUGGAAUUCCGCGUGUAGCAGUGAAAUGCGUAGAUAUGCGGAGGAACACCGAUGGCGAAGGCAAUCCCCUGGACCUGUACUGACGCUCAUGCACGAAAGCGUGGGGAGCAAACAGG
rnacentral:rRNA from 1 species